rnacentral:rRNA from 1 species
CUGAUCCAGCAAUGCCGCGUGUGUGAAGAAGGCCUUCGGGUUGUAAAGCACUUUUAUCAGGAGCGAAAUACUGCCGGCUAAUACCCGGCGGGGCUGACGGUACCUGAGGAAUAAGCACCGGCUAACUUCGUGCCAGCAGCCGCGGUAAUACGAAGGGUGCAAGCGUUAAUCGGAAUUACUGGGCGUAAAGCGUGCGUAGGCGGUUCUUUAAGUCUGCUGUGAAAUCCCCGGGCUCAACCUGGGAAUGGCAGUGGAUACUGGAGAGCUAGAGUGUGAUAGAGGAUGGUGGAAUUCCCGGUGUAGCGGUGAAAUGCGUAAAGAUCGGGAGGAACAUCAGUGGCGAAGGCGGCCAUCUGGAUCAACACUGACGCUGAGGCACGAAAGCGUGGGGAGCAAACAGGAUUAGAUACCCUGGUAGUCCACGCCCUAAACGAUGCGAACUGGAUGUUGGUCUCAACUCGGAGAUCAGUGUCGAAGCUAACGCGUUAAGUUCGCCGCCUGGGGAGUACGGUCGCAAGACUGAAACUCAAAGGAAUUGACGGGGGCCCGCACAAGCGGUGGAGUAUGUGGUUUAAUUCGAUGCAACGCGAAGAACCUUACCUGGCCUUGACAUGUCUGGAAUCCUGCAGA